GGGAAGUAGCUCAGUUGGUAGAGUUUUAGCCUGUCACGCUAAAUGUCGUGGGUUCAAGUCCCAUUUUUCCC
rnacentral:tRNA from 1 species